rnacentral:rRNA from 1 species
GACGAACGCUGGCGGCGUGCCUAAUACAUGCGAGUAGAACGCACAGUUUAUACCGUAGCUUGCUCCACCAUAGACUGUGAGUUGCGAACGGGUGAGUAACGCGUAGGUAACCUGCCUGGUAGCGGGGGAUAACUAUUGGAAACGAUAGCUAAUACCGCAUAAUAUUAAUUAUUGCAUGAUAAUUAAUUGAAAGGUGCAAUUGCACCACUACCAGAUGGACCUGCGUUGUAUUAGCUAGUAGGUGAGGUAACGGCUCACCUAGGCGACGAUACAUAGCCGACCGGAGAGGGUGAUCGGCCACACUGGGACUGAGACACGGCCCAGACUCCUACGGGAGGCAGCAGUAGGGAAUCUUCGGCAAUGGACGAAAGUCUGACCGAGCAACGCCGCGUGAGUGAAGAAGGUUUUCGGAUCGUAAAGCUCUGUUGUAAGAGAAGAACGGGUGUGAGAGUGGAAAGUUCACACUGUGACGGUAUCUUACCAGAAAGGGACGGCUAACUACGUG